rnacentral:tRNA from 1 species
GCCGGCGUGGCGGAGUCUGGCCGAACGCGGCAGAUUCGAGCGGAUGCGCUGAGGAGCAAUCCGAUGACGAAAGUCCCGAGGCAUCUGCUGGGCUUCUGACGAGCCCUCCCCGGUUCGAAUCCGGGCGCCGGCG